rnacentral:lncRNA from 1 species
UGUACAAAAAUAUUAAAUUUACUGGUUAUUUAAUCAUGAUAAUUAUAAUAUACAUGAUGAAAAGUUCGAAGAAUUAAGAAUUAUGUACCAAAAACAUCUGACUGGUGAAUUAAAUAACGCAGUACAAUCCGUAAUAUAAAAGAAAAAAAUACAAUAUGCAUUGCCCAGCGUAGAUCAGCGUAUCCCUUUAAUUAAGCAGUACACCCUGUUUGGUAUUAUCAUAUCUAUUCCGUUCUGAUUGAUAUAUACGUUUAACUUUAUUAAUAGUACAUAUUGACGAUCCUUCAUUAAAAAAAUAGGUACUACUAUAUAAUAUAACUAUCCUUUUGGCUAGACAUCAACCAUCAAUCUUUUGAAUCUUAAACCUUCACCCUAGCCACACAAACAC